CGUGUGUGGCUAGAUAUUUCCGAGCCCGUCUACUGUUUCUCUCCUUCACUCCUCCCCUGAACGGCCGAACCCUCGUCCCUAUCCAUCCAUCUCUCUUCCUCUGCCCCGUGAGCCACCGUCGUGCUUCUCCUCCACGCUUGUUGUGCCCCGCCUCCAACGCCACCCACGCGUCGCCGGCGCUCGGGACGAAGCUCCACUGGCACAUCGCCUACAGCCGCCAAUGGAUUCAACCUCCAACCCCACCCCACACACGGCCAGCGUUGGAUCCGGGAACGGUGGAAGCACGAACCGGUGACUGCAGAUCCAGCACGGCUGAGACUUUGGGGAUGAAGGCCGUCGACUAGGCAAGGAUCCUCAGUGUCGAGACCGUCUUUUCUUUCCUCGAUAUUCUCUCUGUAAAUUUUCGUCCCUCGAAUUUUCUCUCUAAGUUUUCCUGGAUCUUUUUUCCCGAUCAACUCUGACACCCAAUGGUGUUCAGAUCGUAUUUGUUUCUCGUUUUUUCUCGCAAAUUUUUCUUUCCUCGAAAUCUCUCUGAGGUUUCUUGGAAAUUUUUUCAUCGUCAACUCUGACACCCAAUGUUCUCUCAAAUUUUUCUUUCCUCGAAUUUUCUCUCUGAGGUUUCCUGGAUAUUUUUUGUACAACAUGAUAUUGUGGUGUUCAAAUCUUGGUUUUUUAGGCGGGGAAAAAUCUGGGCAAUUCUGAGAUUUUACAUGACUGUGAUUUGCGACAGAAAAUAAUCAAAGUGCCCGUACUGCAACAAUGGAGAAGGUUAGUGAUGGGUCAUGGACAAAGAACAACCCCGGCAAGUAUUUCUACAAGUGCAAGCAUCACUGGACUAGGAGGUGUAAAUUCUGUUAAUGGGAAGCGGUGUACAUCAAGAAGUGCUUUGUGCAAGGUGGCCUAAGCUGUUCAUCCAUGCCGACAACUUGCCCAAGAAUAAUAAGGCGCCUCUCAAUGUCCUCUCCUCAUCGUUGGGAUUCUCAGCCCAGCCGUUGUUCUGUACCCCUGCAUCAGGCUACAUGGAAUAUGCUAAUUUAGGGAUCUGUGAAGCUAAUCCCCUAGAUGUUCCCUAACUAUCUAUCCAGGAAGUUUAGUACCUGCCAUAUAUGUGUGUAACCAGGGAUUUCCUUUACCAAGAAUCUGCCGGAAAGUUCAGGCCUAUCUCCUGGACACUGUAAACAUUUUCAAAUUUGAAUCUUCAAACACACUACCAUAAUGGCAGUUAGUGCAUUUAUACUUCCCUAGACCGGGAUGUGGCUGAUCUCUAUAAUUUACCUGCUCGGAUACAGAGGGACUGCAAUUCAGAUGACAAAAUGCAGUGAACCAAGUGGCAAGUAGCCAAGUACAGUCAUCUCCCGAGCAGCAAAAACAGCCGAGGGAGCCCGUAGUAGAUUGAUGAAUCCUGCAAUCCCACACUGUGUGCACCUAAGGUUUUUUUUUAAAGCGUGAGCAACAUGUUUGAUUUGAUUUGGAAUGAAGCCAGUUUGGACAACAGAUUUGACACGAGGACUAGAAUGGAGAAACUUGGUGCCGACUCCAUUGCCAGAGCUAUGCAUGCUCCUCUACAUCAUGGCGCUGAAUCUAGGAAGUCUGCAGUAGAGGGGACCCGGUGAUUGGCCAUGAUUGAUUUUGGUUAAUGGGGGCAGGAUGUAGAAUGGGGGAGAGAGAGCCUAAAUUAAUUUUUUUUCCUGUUCGCCGGUGCCUGACAUGUACCGCAAUCAAUUGAUAUUGGGCUCCACUGCUUGUAUCCUGGCAACGUAU